GUUCAGGCAGCAAAUGGCGGAACAAUAUAAAGUUUCAAGAAAGACGCCUUUUGUUCCCUCCAGAGGACCUGGAGCACUGACAAACGAGGCUGGAGAUGUUUCGCAGAAGAUGAUGAUCUCGGUCUUGCUCUCGUUAAGGUUGAGGAAGUUAGCACUCAUCCAUGCUUUGAUGUCAGUCAGACAGUCCAGCAGUGGCUGGAGUGCGACCUGUCCUGUGGCCUUAAGAGGUCCUGGGUUGGAUCCUGCGCUCGGGAUCUUUCUGUGUGGAGUUUGCAUGUUCUCCCCGUGACUGCGUGGGUUCCCUCCGGGCUCUCCGGCUUCCUCCCACCUCCCAAGACAUGCACCAGGGGAUAAGCUCCUCCCACCUACAAAGACAUGCACCUGGGGAUAGGCUCCUCCCACCUCCAAAGACAUGCAUCUGGGGAUAGGUUGAUUGGCAACACUAAAUUGGCCCUAGUGUGUGAAUGUUGUCUAUCUGUGUUGGCCCUGUGAUGAGGUGGCGACUUGUCCAGGGUGUACCCCGCUUUCCGCCCGAAUGCAGCUGAGAUAGGCUCCAGCACCCCCCGCGACCCGGAAAGGGACAAGCGGUAGAAAAUGGAUGGAUGGAUGGAUGGAACACUGAAACAUUUGACAACCAUACUUAAAAGGUAAAACAAACAGUUACCAAGUUCUGUGCAAAUAAAUGAAAUGCAUUCAAGUAAAGAUGAGAUUAGUAAUGAUUAAUAAUAAGAAUCGGCACCUCCAAGGCCGAGUCCAUGGUUCUGGCCCGGAUAAGGGUGGAGUGCCAUCUCCGGGUUGGGGAGGAGAUCUUGCCCCAAGUGGAGAAGUUCAAGUACCUCGGAGUCUUUUUCACGAGUGAGGGAAGAGUGGAUGGUGAGAUCGGUGCGGCGUCUUCAGUAAUGCAGACGCUGUAUCGAUCCGUUGUUAAGAAGGAGCUGAGCCGGAAGGCAAAGCUCUCAAUUUACCGGUCGAUCUACGUUCCCAUCCUCACCUAUGGUCAUGAGCUUUCGGUUAUGACCGAAAGGUCAAGAUCACGGGUACAAGCGGCCGAAAUGAGUUUCCUCUGCCGGGUAGCGGGUCUCUCCCUUAGAGAUAGGGUGAGAAGCUCUGUCAUCCGGGAGGAACUCAAAGUAAAGCCGCUGCUCCUCAACAUGGAGAGGAGCCAGAUGAGGUGGUUCAGGCAUCUGGUCAGGAUGCCACCCGAACGCCUCCCUAGGGAAGUGUUUAGGGCACGUCCGACCGGUAUGAGGCCACGGGGGAAGACUCAGGACACGUUGGGAAGACUAUGUCUCCCGGCUGGCCUGGGAACGCCUCGGGAUCCCCCGGGAGGACCUGGACGUAGUGGCUGGGGAGAGGGAAGUCUGGGCUUCCCUGCUUAGGCUCCUGCCCCCGCGACCCCACCUCGGAUAAGCAGA